CCGGAGAGGGAGAAGAAGACUUCCGGGGCCAGCGACGGGCCAAGCCCGGUUCACAGUGGUAAGUGGACCGGGCCUUGACUAUAGAUCAGGCGUUCACACCACAUGCACAAUGAGAUUUGUGGAAGUUCGCCCUUCCUCUGUUUUGGAAAAGGUAUUCAGGUUGGAGUUUGACCAUUUAUCACAUUUGCCGUUGUACUUAGAGUCGGUCUUAGACGUGUGCUAAAGCUUUAAGUCGUAGGUUUCUUGGAGCAAUUAAGGCAUGUCUUCUUGGGAGAUGUCUCAUGAAUGGAGUAUUGAGUGUUUUCUCCCUUCAAAUCUAUGAUUUUUUUUUCGUGUCAACCUACCGAAUACCAAUUUAAAUGGUCGUUUCUUUAUUACGGGAUCACAUAAUGGAUAGAUUUGAAGCACAGAAAAUAAAAAUUUACAUUCAACUAACAAAUUUUAUUGGGCAAGUUCUUUCUUAAUUUGGGAAACUCAGAACUCAGAACUUAAUUUGGAGAUUCUUUGUUUUCUGGUUCAUGUAAUGGAGGUGAUGGUGUUGGUUUAUUUUUCGUUGCAGCGGGAAAGAUGGUGAAACUUGUUUAUCACCUAUUCUGGUCCCCCAUGCUUAAGGUCAGAUUCCAUAAAUGCAAAAUGUUUCAUCCUGAA